rnacentral:rRNA from 1 species
GUCUUGUUGAUUAUAAUUUCAGGUUAGGCCUGCUCGAUGAUGUUUAAAUGGCCGCGGUAUAUUGACCGUGCAAAGGUAGCAUAAUCACUAGUUUUUUAAUUGAGAGCUUGAAUGAAAGGUUUGAUGAAAAGAUUUCUGUCUCUGGAGAAAUUUAUUAGAAUUUUAUUUUUAGGUUAAAAAGCUUAAAUUUAUAUAGAAGACGAGAAGACCCUAUAGAGUUUUAUAUUUAAUUAAAUAAGUGGAUUUAGGAUUAGGAAUUUUUUUAUUUAACUAGGUAUUUUAUUGGGGUGAUAGAGAAAUUGAAUAAACUUUUUCUAUGAAGUAAACACUUAUUUGUGGUUUUGUGAUCCUAAAGUUUAGAUUAAAAGAUUAAAUUACCUUAGGGAUAACAGCGUAAUUUUUUUUAGAGUUCUUAUCGAAUAAAAAGAUUGCGACCUCGAUGUUGGAUUAAAAUUUGUUUUUGGUGCAAAAACUAAAUAACUAGGUCUGUUCGACCUUUAAAAUUUUACAUGAUCUGAGUUUAGACCGGUGUGAG